AUGAUACACUUAGUUUUCUACCCACCUCCUACCUUACUUUUAUCAUGUGCACGUAGUAAGUACACUCUCAUGUACAUGUAAAUGCAUACAUAUACUCUGAAAUGGAUAUAUCACGUUAAAUAUCAAUAAUAUGUUUAAUCUGGUGUAAACAUUUGUAUCUUAGUUAAUCCAUUCUGUCAUUAAAGGAUGUCUGAGCUAUUUCUUUUUGUUUCAGAUGAUGCCAAAUAUCCCUCAGAUGCCACAGAUUCCAAACGUGAGUACAACAUUUAAUCACUCAAAAAAAAAAUAAUAAUAAUUUCAGACAUUUUCGUAUUGAUGUUGGAAUUUCUGUAUCUUUUUGCUUUAUUUUUGUUUUAUCUUUUCACAGCUGUUCCCGAAUGAAUACCAACCACAAACUGUGCCACAGCAAAGACCCAAUAUCCCAUUCCCCCCAUACAACUCUCAACUUCCUCAUUCCCAGGAUCCUUUGCAGCCAGCUCAGCAGGAGCAGACAGUGCAGACAGGCCAGGUACCUUCUGUGCAACCAUAGAAUGGAAACUGAAUGUAAGUAUGCUGUAAAGUCCUGUAAAGUCCAAAAUGAAGACACAAUAUAUUUUGUUCAUUACAUUAUUCCUGCUGUUCUUUUAGUUACCAGCUUGAAAGAAGUACAAAGUCUGCCGACCCAGAGAAGACCAGAUGAUUUGCUACUUCAAUAUGGCCUAUUGAUAUUAAUUGGGGUAUUUACAGUAGUAUGGUUAUGA
rnacentral:lncRNA from 1 species